UUCAACCUAUUUAACCUAUUUCUGAUCCAUUUAAUCCAAUCUGUUCAACCUGUUUAAUCUAUUUAAUACUCAUUUAAUCUGUUUAAAAUCUGUUUAACCUGUUUCUGACUCAUUUAAUCCGAUCUGUUUAAUCUGUUUAAUCUAAUUUGACUUAUUUAAUAAAUAGAUUAAAUAGAUCGGAUCAAAUUAUCUAUUUAAUAAAUAGGUCGAAUUCAUGUUUGAAUUUUUGACCUAUUUAAUAAAUAAAUCGGGUUUAAAUUGAUGAUUUUUUGAUCCGAUCUAUUUAUGACCCGAUCUAUUUAUAAUUCAAUCCGAUCCGAUUGUCAUCUCUACUAGAAGGAUUUUUGUUACUCCGAUUUAGAGCGAAACGUCAAUUGUUAGUAUUCUAAAUGGAGAAAGGAAAAGAAAAAUUUGAUCAAAAGGUUGUUGAAUUUUAGAUCACCAAAAUCUGACGUGUAUUCAACAUUUCAAACUACUGGAAAUUUCUAGUGCUCAAGCAAAAGCAGGCGUGGGAAAGCGUCACCUUUCUCCAAAAGAAAAAAUAAAAACAAAACAAAAAUUAAAAAUAAAAAUUAAAAAACAAAAAACAAAACAAAGGGUACAUUGAAAGGAAAAAAGUUGGUACACAAAGCAAACCGGAGCAACGGGACAAAAAGAUGGGUAAUGAAAAUAGAAAUGGAAGAGAUGGGUCCCCCUAAAUUAUUCUGCUAAUUGUAGGUGGUGUUAGGAUUCCGGAGAAUGAAGGUUAGGGCCCAUCCUCUUCCCCCAUUUUUUUUUUUUUUGCAUUAUUUUUCUAAAAUGAUAUAAAUAUAAUUAAUAUAUUUGUUUGUUGAUAUUUUGAUCCAAAUAUAAAAUUUCAUACAACUAGAACAUCUUUCCAACAUAGUUCUUAUAUUUUUUUUUCGAGCACCGCCAUAGCCAAUCAAAAUACUUUUUGAGAGUUUUAUGGUCCUCCAAAAACUUCACCAAAUCCAACCUAAGUAGAUUGGACAUAGUGUUAAUUAUAUUUUUUAAUUCUUUUUUGCUGAUAGUAUUUUAUUUUUUUUCAAUUCAAAAUCCAUUGAUGGCUUAAAAGCUAAGAAAAGCUCAUUCUUUUCUCGAGUGCGGCAGCUGCAAAUCGCCCAAAGUUUUUCGGUGGUCUGGGUUCUGAAAGGCACAUAAUCUCGGGGUUGACGUGUCCUCCUUUUCUCUAUUCUCUCGGCCGCAGUUUCCUGAACUAUUCUUUUGAAACAAAUGUCGGAUCAUGGAAUCGUCGAUUCUAAACAAAGACUUUAUUUUUUUCCCCUCCUCUUUUGAUUUGGAUGCCUUGGGGAUCAAUAAAACUGGAGAGGUUCGAAGCAUUUGGAAGUAAUCAUGAUGCGGUGCGUCGCAUGGACAGGAAAAGGCUCAUCAUUCAUGCACCCUGGAGUGAGACGUGUUUUAUUUUUUUAUUUUUUCUUGACUCUCACACGGUCCGUUUCUUUGGGAGUCUAUGUUCAACGGACACCUGUCCAUGACUACGUUCAAUGACUUCUAAUUGCUAAAUGAGAUACUGGUGACUCUACCACGAUGCCGAGGAACGGACAUUAGAAAAUAAUGACUGAUUAAAAUCCGAUCAAUUUUUUUUAAUAGAUAAAUCUGAUCGAUUUAAUAAACAAAUCAAAUGCUCCAAUCAUAAUCCGACAGGUUCAUUAAACAGAUGAUGUGAAGCUGGCAUGUGUGAAUCAUUUGACAAAUAUAUCACAACUACCCCAGCAAGACGUCAAUACAAUGUCUUCCAUGUUGAGAGGGAAAGGGGUGCAAUGCGACACGGUCCUUUUCCUAACAAAUUAGCGUCACCUCCCACCAAACUUGGAUAACCCAGUCUAAUAAUCUCGUCCAAUCCUUUACG
rnacentral:lncRNA from 1 species